rnacentral:tRNA from 16 species
GCCGGCCUAGCUCAACUGGCAGAGCAACUGAUUUGUAAUCAGUAGGUUGGGGGUUCAAGUCCUCUGGCCGGCACCA